ensembl:lncRNA
UUUAGGCAGAUAGUGUCUAAGACAGCUCCAGAGUUAAGAGAGUUCUUCCUGAUAGCUCCAUCAAGGCUCAGAGACUGGCUCUGCUUGGAUCAUCUGCCCAGCCCUGAAACAAUCACACGGCCAUGCCUUUGACCCACAAAAGGUGGCCAGGAGGCCAAGGACAGCUGGAUUGCUUAAGACGGUUCCUGAUCCUCCUUCUAAGUAUCAGAGAAUGGUGUCUUACUAAACCAAACACUGGAGCAGAAUCAUCAAAUGGGGAGGAAGAUUAGCCCUGAGCUAACUACUGCCAGUCCUCCUCUUUUUGCUGAGGAAGCCUGGCCCUGAGCUAACAUCGUGCCCAUCUUCCUCUACUUUAUAUGUGGGAUGCCUACCACAGCAUGGCUUGCCAAGCUGUGCCAUGUCCGCACCUGGGAUCCGAACUGGCGAACCCCGGGCCACCGAGAAGCAGAACAUGCGAACUUAACCGCUGCACCACCAGGCCGGCUCCUCCUUUGACUAUUUUUAAUUGGAAUGUGUUUGGAUGAUUCUUACACAGAGCAAAAUAAAAAUGUAAAACAAGAGGACAUAUGAUCUCACUUAAUUUUCUCUCACAGUGAUCAGGCCAAUAUACAAAUAGGUUUGGGUAUAUCAAGCAUCAGAAUAAUAUAAUGAAGAUAAAAUAAUGCAGGGAAAAAAAUCUAAAUGAACUAUAAUUAUGAUAUAUUUUUAUCUAUUUGGAAAACAAGUGAAUUCGAGUCCUGCAAGACUGCACAUUUACCUCAAGCAUUAACAGCAUUCCAUUUAUUCAAUUUUCUUUCAGCCAAAAACCAAGGAACUGUUAAAUCGCCAACAGGCAUUCAUUUUGUCAAUAUUGAGAUUAAAGCACCCAAGAGAAGUUAAAGCAAUUCUUUUCCACUGGGUGGGCUAUUAUUAGUCAAAUUGCACUUUGCUUUUCAAUGUUUCCAAUAAAGACUCUUUGUAUGAUUAC